rnacentral:rRNA from 1 species
UUACCUGGUUGAUCCUGCCAGUAGUCAUAUGCUUGUCUCAAAGAUUAAGCCAUGCAUGUCUAAGUACAGGCCGACCCAAGGCGAAACCGCAAAUGGCUCAUUAAAUCAGUCAUGAUUCAUUGGAUGUUGAUGAAUCUUUUACUCGGAUAACCGUGGUAAUUCUAGAGCUAAUACGUGCAAUCGAGCUCCGACCCCGCCAUUCCAGGCGGGGGAAGGGCGCAUUUAUUAGAAUCAUAAACCGAGCGGACUGCGGUCCGUCUCAUACGAGGUUGUGAUGACUCUGAAUAACUAUUGCCGAGCGCUGAGGCCUUCGUGCCGGCGCCGUAUCCUCCGAGUGUCUGCCUUAUCAGCUUUCGAUUGUAGGUUAUACGCCUACAAUGGCUGUAACGGGUAACGGGGAAUCAGGGUUCGAUUCCGGAGAGGGAGCCUGAGAAACGGCUACCACAUCUAAGGAAGGCAGCAGGCACGCAAAUUACCCACUCCCGGCACGGGGAGGUAGUGACGAUAAAUAACGAUGCGGGACUCUUCCGAGGCCUCGCAAUCGGAAUGAGUUUACUCUAAAUACUUGGACGAGGAUCCAUUGGAGGGCAAGUCUGGUGCCAGCAGCCGCGGUAAUUCCAGCUCCAAUAGCGUAUAUUAAAGUUGCUGCGGUUAAAAAGCUCGUAGUUGGACUUUAAGAUACGUACCGGCGGCCCAUCCAAGGCGCGCCCUCGCUUAUCGUCGGCUUAUAAGGCGUUCGCGCUUUUAGCCGUUCGGCCCGCCCUUCACCUGACGGCCAUCACCGCUUCUCUCCCCUCCGAGCCCCCUCGCUCAUUUUCCCCUCUUUUCUCGGGGAGACCGGUCCACACCUGGUUUUUUUAGAAAGGCCCCCCCCACGCCUCGUCGGGGUCGACGGCGUCGGUGAAAAUAUAGCGGUUUUACCGUUCCCUAUUUCCCGUCGUGCGGUCGGCCGCAAACACCGCGAAGCGCGGGGGCUACGGUGUCCCGCUCCCAUCUAAACGAGGAAACGAGGUGAUCGAGCGAAUCGGGGCGACGAGGCUUCGUUGCGGGGGUCGCGAUCGUGGUGGUCGCUUCGGUGUCGGGCAAAUAAAGGUCGGGCGGUGUUUAGCUCGGCGAGAGGCGGGUAAGCGCGCCCGGUGGUUCACUUGCCGGCAACGAAUUUUUAAAAGCCGUCGGCGCUCACGGGGUGCUCUUUACCGAGUGUCCCGCGUGGCCGACACGUUCACUUUGAAAAAAUUAGAGUGCUCAAAGCAGGCAAACCUUAUAGCCUGAAUGUAUAUGCAUGGAAUGAUGGAACAGGACCUCGGUUCUGCAUUUUUCUCUCGGUUUUCCGAACCCGAGGUAAUGAUUAACGGGAACGGACGGGGGCAUUAGUAUUGCGACGCUAGAGGUGAAAUUCUUGGACCGUCGCAAGACUAACUACUGCGAAAGCAUUUGCCAAGAACGCUUUCAUUAAUCAAGAACGAAAGUUAGAGGAUCGAAGGCGAUCAGAUACCGCCCUAGUUCUAACCUUAAACGAUGCCAACUGGCGAUCCGCUUACGUCAUUCCCACGACUGAGCGGGGAGCCCCCGGGAAACCAAAGUCUUUGGGUUCCGGGGGAAGUAUGGUUGCAAAGCUGAAACUUAAAGGAAUUGACGGAAGGGCACCACCAGGAGUGGAGCCUGCGGCUUAAUUUGACUCAACACGGGGAACCUCACCAGGCCCAGACACCGGAAGGAUUGACAGAUUGAGAGCUCUUUCUCGAUUCGGUGGGUGGUGGUGCAUGGCCGUUCUUAGUUGGUGGAGCGAUCUGUCUGGUUGAUUCCGAUAACGAMCGAGACUCUACCCUACUAACUAGUCGGUGGAUCGUAUCCCGAGACGGGUUCCCCUGUCGGGGGGUUCGGUGCGGUACGUUGGCCCUCCGGCCGCGGCGUCCUUCCCUCUAAAGCGGAGAGGAAAUGUCGUUCUGUCUCCCCCUCCCGCUCGGUUCGCUUCGGCGUUCAGGGUGUGGAGAAGGGAGGGAGGCGGCACUACUCGUGCGCGUAGGGGGGCCAAAAUGGGGCGUCGCGCGUCGUGGGAGGCGUCGCGUCCGCGCUCGCUACAUUCCCCGUGCAGGGCCCAGCGAGGGGCGUCCACCGCAACAUCUUCUUAGAGGGAUCGGCGGCGUCCAGCCGCACGAGAGAGAGCAAUAACAGGCUGGUGAUGCANNNNNNNNNGCCGUUCUUAGUUGGUGGAGUGAUUUGUCUGGUUAAUUCCGAUAACGAACGAGACUCUAUCCUGCUAACUAGUCGGUGGAUCGUUACCCUAGUCGGGUCGCUUCUUUCGCGCCGUAGUUGUCGCGGUAGAUGUCGUUCGGUAAAGGUGUUCGACGCGUUCGAAGUGCGUUUUGCUUUCGGGCAUGCGUGCCGAGGCGCGUAACGGCCUUUAUCGGGCGCUCUCCCACGCUGCGGUUGCGGGUGGCGCUCGGCUAGGGGCGUUCAUCGUAUUUCUUCUUAGAGGGAUUGUCGGUUCGUAGCCGUAAGAGAAUGAGCAAUAACAGGUCUGUGAUGCCCUUAGAUGUCCUGAGCUGCACGCGCGCUACAAUGAUUGUAGCAGCGUGCUUUCCUUCUCCGAAAGGAGUGAGUAACCCCGUGAAUUGCAAUCCCGCUUGGGAUUGGGGAUUGCAAUAUUUCCUCAUGAACGAGGAAUGCCUAGUAAGCGCAGGUCAAAAGCUUGCGUUGACUAAGUCCCUGCCCUUUGUACACACCGCCCGUCGCUACUACCGAUUGGAUGAAGUAUCAAAGACGUUGGACUAUGCACCCUUAGUUGCGCCGAAUGCGUGCGUAAACGACGGGAAUUGUGGAAAGGCGUCUGAGGUAGCUUAUCUAGAGGAAGUAAAAGUCGUAACAAGGUCUUCGUAGGUGAACCUGGGGAA